ACGGGGGUGGCAAGCGUUACUCGGAUUUAUUGGGUGUAAAGGGCAGGUAGGCGUCCUGUUAAGUUAGAAGUGAAAUCCUAAGGCUCAACCUUAGAACUGCUUCUAAAACUGUCAGGAUUGAGGAUGUAAGAAGAGAGCGGAAUUCCCGGUGUAAGGGUGAAAUCUGUAGAUAUCGGGAGGAACACCAGUGGCGAAAGCGGCUCUCUAGUACAUUUCUGACGCUAAGCUGCGAAAGCUAGGGGAGCAAACAGGAUUAGAUACCCUGGUAGUCCUAGCCGUAAACGAUGAGCACUAGGUGUUGGGGGGCAACUCUCAGCGCCGCAAGUUAACACGUUAAGUGCUCCACCUGAGGACUACGACCGCAAGGUUA
rnacentral:rRNA from 1 species